GGUGGGGGGCAUGACAACUUACUUGCAUACCCAAAUUAGACAUAGUAUUUUCCUCAUUUAACUUGUGCCUUGUUGGUGCCAAGUGGGAGCAGGGCAUCAGAAACUUGCAAAGAAAAACAUUGUUGCAUGGAGAUUGGUGUAUGAGUACGCUUUGAUCGCAACAUCACUAACUAAACAAGUUAAAAGUCAUUCAAGCACCAAAAGGGACGUAUAUGAGCACCACUACCAUGAUCCUUUUCUUUGCUGGUGCAAAUAAACGAGUAUAUAUAUGAACAUGCUUUGAUCGCAACAUCACCAAGUAAACAAGACAAAAAUCACUCGAGCACCAACAGGGACGUACAUGAGCACCACUACCAUGUUCUUUUUCUUUGCUGGUGCAAAUAAGCGAGUAUAUAUGAGCAUGCUUUGAUCGCAACAUCACUAACUAAACAAGACAAAAAUCAUUCUAGCCCCAAAAGGGACGUACCUUAAAAGCCACAACUAAAGAACUUGCAACAGCACGAAGAAAGCUAGAUGCAGCUCAGGAAGUAGUCCACACUGCACUGGUCAAUCACCGUA
rnacentral:lncRNA from 1 species